AAGGAAAGCGAGAGAGGGAGGGGGAAAGAGAGAGGGAGAAAGAGUUCUGCACUCAGCUUUGGCUGAGAGCAGAAUGCUCCUUCACUUUCCAUUUUAUCUCUCAUUGCAGAUUCUCAAUGGAAUUGGAUGCUGCCCUUAGUGAUGAGUAAGGAAAUAAUCAUCACACAGUUCUCUUGGACGCUUCCAAAAACUGGGGGGGAUGGGCAGUAGGGAAAGGAAAGGGCAUAGGGGAGGACCAGUACAGAGUGCCUUCGAGAAGAAUGAAUAAGCCUAUGCCAACUGCUUAACCAUUUUCCUCUCCAGUUUCCCUGUAGUCAACUGGGAUACCAUAUAGCACCUGGCCUGAUGUGGGGAUAAUAAUACCUCCCCACAGGGCUGUUGUGAGGCUCAUGAGGGAAAACAUAUGUAGAGUGUUUAGCACGGUACAUCUCAAUCCCUGGUGGCUACCAUUAUGAUUAUCCCCCUGCCCCCUGAUCCAUGUUAGCAGGCAAGAGCACUCAGACACUGUUACUGGGCAGCUGUAUGAAAGGCACACGUGGUUUGUCCCCAGGAAUGAUGCUGCUGAGGGAUGCUCAAAGUCUAGAUGAUGAGGAGACUUAACAAGAUCAAUACCACUUUUGGAAAAGAUUAUAUGCUAUACUAGGCAGCAAAUAGACCAUUGAAACCGGAUUUGGAAAGCGUUUAUGGAGUCUAUUAGAGAUGGUUAAACAUACCAACUCAGAGAAAAAUAAAUAGUGGAUUAUAUACACGCAGCCUCCUCGUUCUCCUUCUCUGUGUGUCUCUCUUUCUCUCCCUUCUGCCCUCUCCUUCCACAUUUUCAGGUUUAGGUAAGGAGGACUGAUCAAAUAACUCUUCUGAGAAACGGUGAAGGAGAAAACUACGUGGUAUUAUGGCUGUGCAGAUCGAGUUACUUAGAGUGUGUGAAAUUUUAGGAGCUGAAUGAGAAGUGAUGCCUCAAUUUAUAGUGGGCUGUAGAUGAGGUCUCCCUGAUUAAUAAGCUGAUGGGUUUCCAGGAAUAAGUUAAACCUUUUGGUUAGCUUUUUAAGGCUACUAGUGAGCAAUUUAGUGCACUGGAGCAGUAAUUUCAUGUUCUCUGGUGGCUUGAAAUAAUUAGAUUAUUUUGUGGAAUGAAUAAAUGAGAUGUUAAUUCACUGGCAUGGAUCAGUGUGGGAACAUGAUUUAUUCCUUGCAAAGGUGAGUGCUCUAGAGUCUUGACCCUACAGAUAAUUGUUUUGACUCCCUCCCCUUUCUCAUUUAUGAUGUGUUUUGGGUUAUUUUGUGAGGGAGGCUGCCCAGUGGAGUGGGAAGAACAUAUGAACUUUGGGAUCAGACAAAUCUUGAUUCAAUUUUUACUAGGUGUGUGACCUUGGGCAAAUCACUUAACAUGCGAGGCCCCACUUCCUAAUCAGUAAAGGGGUGGUAAUAAUGCUUACCUUAUAUGAGAUGCAUAUGAAUUAAGUCUGUUACUGAAAGGAAAGUACCUAACACAGCUCCUAGCCCACGCUGGAAACCCAAACAAAAUAUUAGAUUCCUUUUAGGCUCCCUCCCACCAUAUUAUUUUAAAAUGAUUAAUGUUUGUACCAACAAUAAACAGCCAGCACAUUAAUUAAUUAUGGUUUUCCUCAUUUGUUAGGUUGGAAAGAACUUCCGCCUUGAUAAAGUGCUUUAAUGAAAAUGUUUACUGAGCCUACGUUUUUGGGGAAAAUAAAAGGUGUUUGAAAGCCAAAUGUUCUUGUGGAAAUCUAUAUUAGCAUUUUACUUUAUGGCCACUAAUGACCUGAUUCAAGGCAAAACCUCUCCCUUCAAACCAACCAAUGAUUACCUUAGUAGAUAAAGUUUAAACAGAAUCUUGAUGGGGGAAUUGGCUUUGCAUUCUCUUCUGUUGUGGCAUUAUAUACAGUGAAGAUUCUACAGCCCUUGCAUAAAGGACAGAAAUGAAGAAAAUUCAAUAACCAAAUAGCACUGGGAGGUUGGAGAGCAGUUAGUGCUUUGGCAGUUGGUGAAAGAAGCAGACCUUGCUUUUCACAAGUUUGCUGCUUUUGGAUAGUAGCAGACUAGCCAGCCACAACAGGCCCAUAUUAAUUCAGCAGGGUGGGAUGGGACAUGUACUCUCCGUUCCUGCUAGAACAUCACAGCAUUGGAAUUCUUCUUACGAUUUAUUCCAAGCCUCAAAUCUGUAUAUCACUCAUCCACUGAAUCGAACAAUUGGAAAGUGAUUACAUUUAGGAACUAUUGGUGGGAGGUUGGUACUUCCUCCUCUUUAAUAACAUCUUGAGAGCUAACGGGCUCACUGAUGUUCCUCAAAUCCAUCCUACCUCCCUCUACACAAAUGAACUCAGUUGGAGGUCGGGUUUAUUGACGUUUAAAUGAGUGUACUUAGCUCACUGUAGCGUCUGUCUAAAUGAACACUGCUUUGGCGCAUUGAAACUUAAUGAUUUACUCUGCAUCCAGGUGAGAGAGCGGAAUGUUGUGGCAUGCAGGUGGGGGAUGUAUGCAACUCAUGUCUUCUAGCCAAGAAUAGUUGCAAAUUGAAAUAAUUUCUUAAAUAUUUCAUGGAAGGCUAUUUUGGUAUUGGGAUGGGAGAACAUUAGAAAUGUCUACUAAGGCUGGAAAAGUAAAACAAUAGCUAGAAAGGGAGAAAAAAGUCAGGAGAUACGCCCAGGUGAGACUACUGCCGUAUGCCCAGUGUUUUCCUACAACUUCAUGCUCCCUCUUAGAGGACAAAAGACAUAACCCGUUUGGGCUUUGGUGACUAAGCUUAGAAUACCUCAGGUAAAAUAAUGGAAACCAAAGUUCACUGUCUGUAAAUACCAGUGAUCUGUCAUGGCAGAACUCCUUCCUUGACUCCACAUGCCCUCCAGCCACUGCCCUAUUUCUCUGACAUUCUUCUUAAACAAACUUUUCAAAAGAGCUGUCUACACACAUUGUUUCCAUGUCUUUGCUUCCCAAGUUCUCUUCAACCUACUCAAGUCAAGCCUCUGACACUACCAAUUGACUGAACUCACUUUUGCCAAGAUUAUCAAUGACCUCCAUGUCACCAAAUCCAGUGGUUGCUCUCUGUUCUCAACUUCUUUGAAUCCUCAGCACCUUGAGGCUGACUUUUCCUCUUCUACCCAACCUCUGAACGUUGAGAUUCUUCAGAGCUUGGACUCGGCACCUCUUCUUUGACUCUCCAAAUCCUCUUCCUAGCUGAUCUACUCAAGUCCCAUGUAUUUAAAUGCAACUUUUACACUGAUGUCUCCAAUAUUUAUAUCUUCUGCCUCAACCUCUCCUCUGAGAUCUAGACUUAUCAAUACGAUUGUCUACUUGACACUACUGUUUGCAGACAUUUCAAACUGAGUAAGUCCAGAAAGGUACUCUUGCUGCCUGUUUCCCAGCUCCUCUCCCAAGUCUUGAACAUUGGAUCCGUCAACAAGUCCUGUCAACCCAAAUUCUACAAGAUGCUUUGCCAUGUCCAUUGCUGUUCUGAGUCAUGGCCUACAUCAUCUUCCAUCUAGACCAGUGCACCUGCCUCCUAGUUGGUCCUUCUCCUUCCAGUCUUACUCUACAUUACUGUCCACUCUAUAAACAGCAGCAACUUCCCUGCUCAAAACCCUCCAAAUUUUCACCUGGCCUCUAGAAUAAAACUCAAGUUCCUACUGUGUAUACCAGGCCUUGCCUUUCUGGCCCUACUUCUCCAAUCUUUUUUUUUUUUUUUUACCAUGUUUUCCUCCUUAUUCACCAUGCUCCAGUCAUGCUGGCCUUCUUUCUGUUCCCUGAACAUAUAGUACUCCCUUGCACAUCAAGGGUUUUGCACGUGCUGUCCCCUUUGCCUGGAAUGGUAAUUUAUGUCCCUAACUUAAUGGCAUUAAUUAUGGGCCAGGCCAGGUCUAAGUGCUUUCAAUGGAUUAACACAUUACAUUCUCAUAUUACCCACACGAGAUAGGAACUGUUAUUCUUCUAUUUAAUAGAUGAGGAAAUUGACUCACAUUUACUCAUCUGAAUGCUCUUUCCCCCUUUUCGUGUGACAGCUCCCUCUUCUUUUUUAGGUCUUAGCUUCAAUAUCACUCUUCAAGGAUGUUUUCUUUGAUGUCCCUACUUAAAGUGCUAAUUUCAUUCUCCGUCUCCUGUUUUGACUUUUAUAGUAUUAAUGAUAAUGUGCAGUUUCCUUGUGUACUUGUGUUUUUGUCUGUAUGGACUGGGAUUAGCUCUUUCUCACUCACUGCUAUAUCUCCAUGGCUCAGGACGGCGCAUGACUCUUAAAAUCUUUGUUGAAUGAAUGAAUGAGGGAAUGAAUGACCACCUUCCAUGGAACCUAGUCAAUGAACUAGGGAGAAGGAAGGAACAGCAUAAGAGGGUAUGUUGUACUGAGACACUAAAUGAAUCAUAGACGUGGUGUCCUUGGCCACGUGACUUGUUCCUUUCCAUUUUAUUCUUCCUGAAACAACAACAAAGCAAAAUAAACAAACAAAAGUGAGUGAGAAAGAGCUUAAAGAGAGGACAGCCUACUCAUAUAUGUUUCUCUGAUCAUAGCCUAAGCUCCAAAGUAACAAAGACCCAUUGGGCACACACUCACUGGGAGAUAUGGCAUAGACAAAAGUAUGGGCCAGAGUCAGGGUUUGAAGGAGUGACUAGAGCAGCCUGUCUAGGGCAGAGGGUUUGAGUGCGAGCGCAGUGAAAGACAGCUUCCAGAAAUCAGGGUGUGGCCUAGGGAGUGUGGGCGUGAAUCACUGAAGGGGAAAAGCCACCGGAAAUGUUUGUACAAGUAGUUUCAGAAUUACUGAGAAUUACAAACCCCUCAGUAUAUUACAGAUAUUAAAUCUGUGGUCUAAAGGCCUUACUGUUAUGCCUCCAGCUUGCACUGAGGGAAAUUACAAGAGAAGUAUUUUCUCUAGGCCACUUACUGUCCCCUCUAGGAGGACCUGCAGUUUCCGUGCUAGUAAAGCUAUGUUAGAUAAAUUUAGGAUAUAAUUAUCUUGUAGCUAAUUGUGUUUCUACCUUUGCCAGGGCUAAAAGGAAUCUGGACAUUAAAUUUAAAUGAUUUAAAUAAUUGUGCAAGUAUUUUCAUCUUGCUUUUCUGUCUACUAUCACUUCCUGGCUUCAUUUUACUAUUAGAGGUUGAUUAUUUCUUUAUUUUAAUGUUGUUAUUCUUGUUUUUACUAUUCUGUAUUUUGCAUAUUUUUAUACUCUCCCACAAAUCUUUUUUGAUACAAGAGGGUUCCCCUUUGAUUAAUACAUACACAAAGGAAAGGUCCCAUGUUUUUUGGUGUAUUAUUCUUGUCUUUACUAGUGCAAAGGUGACAUAUUUAUUUGACAUGGAAUUGGUAUAUGGGUAAUUGAUGGUAACUUUUCUUUUAAACCAACUUCCUUUAUCCUUGUAAGUCAUUUUGUUCUCAAGAGGAUGAAACAGGAUUAAUGGAAACACCCGUGUAGUAAUGACUCUGCCUUAAACGUCACGGGGCCUGAUGUAAAGAGUAUUGAAAGUUCCUGGGGAGUUGCUGUCCAACCUUCAAAAAAUAAUUAAGUGGGCAUGGAGGGAGGCCAGGUCCCAGCUUGAACCUCCAUUCUGAAUGGGCGCCUGUUUAGAGGCUGGACAUAUCCAGGUAUUAGCAUUUUCCUUUCCCUUAUAAUUUUCCAAUUUCCUGCUUCUUUCCAUUUCAAGGGAAGAUUAAGUUACAUUCAGAACAGUAGUUCUCCAAGUGUGGUCCAGCGAUUUCUGAGAGGUCCUUAAGACCUCUCAGUGGGUCUACGAGAUCAAAGCUAGCUUCAAAAUAAUAAAAAGACAUUAUCUGCUGUUUCCACUUCCACAGUCUCACGAUGUACAGCGGAGUUUUCCAGAGGCCAUGUGAUGUGAUAUCGCGAGAGACUGAGCGCAGAAGCAGGCAACAAGCCAGAAGAUCCUAUUUAGACCCUUAGAAAGGGAAAGAAGAGAAUGGAAGUUCUGGAUUCCUUCAUCUUCCCGAUGCAUUAGCAGAGAUGCUGUGUCAGCCAAUGGAAGGAGUGACAACAGGGAGCACCUUACGACUCCUGCUCCCCUGUGCCCAGCAGAUGGGUGUCCAGGCCCCAGCUCCAUUGCUCGUCUCCCAGGGCUGACCCGCUCCAACCACAGCCCCGAGGGGAAGGAAAUGAGACGGCAGCUGCCUUCAGGAAGAAGCUAUAGAAUCACGGCAACAAGAGGUGGGAAGGUUUCUGUCUGCUUUGUGUUCUGGCUUCUGGUCCUGGCUGGGUCCUUCCACCCCUCCACUCUGGGGUGGAGUAGUUCGUCCUUCCUUGUUGGGGGUAUUACCCUCUGUCCUCAAUGCACUGGUUGCGUCAGUAUCUGCAGCUGGUGGAAUGUGUGGUCUGUCCUCCUAGUUCAGUCCAAGUGGCCCUGCCCACUGUCCAACCAACUCGUGUCUUGACCCAGUUCUUACUAGCCACAAAGAUCCUCUGAAAUUUCCAGGGUUGAAAUGCAUGCAUGUGUGUGGUGAGGGGUCAUACAUCUCCUCUGAUAUGGGUCCUUUCUUCCCACUUGGAAUUCUGGAAGCAACCACCUGGACAGGUGUCCUGGAAGGGACAGGCUGGGUCCUCUCAGGACAUUCACCUACAGAUAACUCUCUUCUCUAUGACUUUCCUUGAGCUCCUUCCCCUCCAGUAGAGGUAAACAGUUCCCAGUUCAUAGCUUUUGUCUGAUCUCCUCUACAGAGUCCAGAAAGACUCCUUCAUUUUCUCGAAUGCCUUGUUCUUGUGCUGGAAAACCAGGGCUCUCAAGAUUAUUGUCUUCCUGUACAUUUAAAAAAGUUAAACUUGAAUGUCAAAGCCUUCUUCUUCCUGGAAAACUUAACUCCCUGUUCUCUGUCCCAUUCCACCCCACCCCAAAGCCAUGGCUAACUUGUCCUCGGAGGGCAGAGGGCUGGUGGGCAACAUAGCUACUGAAUUACCAGGAAUGAAAAACACAUAGAAUAGUAUUUCAAAAUAUUAUUCCUUUUGACUGUCGGCACAAGUAUUUACGGGACAAACAAUGGUGGUGUGGACUCAGAGAAAGUGCUGGGUUAAAAUUGGGGCUCAUUUUGGGUCCAUUUUGAAAGCCUUGGAAUAUUGAGUAAAUUAGGACCAAUUGGAGACUCAAGAUGCUGUGUUCCAGGGAGGGUCCAGAGUAAGAGGGUGAUGAUUAUGACAAUAACAUUUCAUUUGCAAGUAUUUUUCCUACAGACUGUUUCAUAAUUUAUCCUUUAUUUUAUUAAGCAAUACGUCGUGUGAGUCAUAGUGCUAGGACACGUUCCUAUUUGAGGAGACAAAAUUUAUUAAACUGGCAGUGUUUAUGAAUUCCUCUCUUUCUAUAGCCCAUCAAAAAUAAUCUUGUUAUCUAGCCCAAUUUCCUCCCCUUUUCCUUCCAAAGAGAAAGGAUUCUUAUUUGUUGAGACAGAGCUUAAGUUAAUCUAUAUCACAAAGUGCUGAGAAGGAGGGCAAGAAGAUUUGGAGGGAAGAAACUCUCCCUCUGCUCCCUCCUCCCCUCCUCUCCGCUCCCCUCUUCUCUCCUCCCCUCCUCUCCUCUCCCCUUCCUUUUCCUUCUCUUCCACUCUCUCCCCUUCCCAGGCAUUCUCACCCAGGUUUUGGGUUUCUUUCCUUUGUGACUGGCCAGAGGUGACAAGACACUUGAGGUCUGGAUUCAGGCUUGGGAGAACCAAGGGCCUCUACUUGGAUUCCAAGCCUGAGUUUCAUGCUCACUUAGCUCCCCCUGAGCUCUACUGAGGGGGAAUUGAGCACUUGCCCAGCUAAUAAUAAAGUGGCUCCUCAUGGCCCAUUGGGCCGUUAUUCCUCACAUGCACAUCUUCCUCAGUAGCGUCCUGGAGAAAGAGGGAUUGUCAGGUUGGAAUUUAGGCCAUUGUGUAUCAGGUUCUGGGUAUCAAAGGUGAUCAAGACAAUGGAUUCAACCCUCAAGGAGGUCCCUGUGUAGCGGUGGGGAGGGACAAAUGCACAGGAAAUGACAGCAUUGCAGGGUGAGCACUAUACUAGGGGUAUGUGCCAGGUGCCAUUGGAGCAUACUGAGGGCAUCUCGUCCUUCUGACCUGGGACGGCUGCCUGGAGACGUGAAGUCUAAGUCGAGAAGAUGAGAGCACUGACAGUCAGGGAGUCAGCAGUUGUGUUGGUUUGUGGAGUAAUCUGACGAGGAUGUUGCUUUUAGGCAAGUUGAGUAGAACAGGCAGUGGGUUUUCAAGUAGCAGCAGAGGAAACCAGGGCCCAGAGUCAGGAAGGAGAAUCAGGAAGAGGCAGAGAUGUGGCAUCUUCUAUCUCCUCGAGGGUGACAACUGGAGCUGGGAAUGGGAGUGAGGCCAGGAAGGGGAAGGAGAGAGAAGAGCAGAGGGCCAAAGGUCAAGCCUGGGAAUACCCAAGUUUCGGGAUAGAAGAAGGCAGAGGAGAUAGAGAAGAAGAUAGAGAGCCAGGAGGUAUAUCCUAGCAACCAGACCAAAGCACCACCAAACCCUGGAUCUUCUUAGUGUCCAGAGAGAGUGUGUAGCCCUCACUCCCUUUGCGUUGCAGGCAUUGUAGAUGAUGCUCAUCACAGCUACCAUCUUUCAAGGGAUUACGGGGUGGCAGGCUCUGGUGUACACUAUGCUAAGCUCUAGUGUACAUUAUCUUGUGGAAUUCUUAGAAUUCUGUGAGGUAGGCAUGUUUUCCCAUUUUACAGAUGAGGGAAAAGGGUCAGGGAAGUUAAGAGACUUUCUCAAGUUCCCUGUGUCACACAAGCUGGUCCAGAACCAGGCUUGGAAUCCAAGCUUACACCCUAUGUUAAACAGUGUUACUAUUGACCAAAAGGGCUCCUGGAAGGGCAGCAUCAGCAUCUCCUGGGAUCUUGUAGAAGAGCAGAGUUUCAGGUUCCAUCCCAGAUUUGCUGAAUCAGAAUCUGCGUUUUAAGGAGUGAAUAAUACAUGCAAUAAAGUUGAGAAGCUCUGCUGUAAAUUACAUUCACUCCCCUGCUUCCUUGGGACCUUGCAUCAGGUGUCCGCUCUGUCCCUGAUUCUUUGCCUUCUGUCCUCUCCUCCAUCCCUUCUCUCCCAGGAAGAUGCCAGCUGGGCAUUGUCUGCUUUACCUUGUAAGGGACCUGCUCUGCUCUGUGGUGACAAGAGACUUGCACAUUAGUGUAGCAUUGCACUUCAGCAUGGCGCUUGGAGUUUCUCAAAGGAAUUGUUUCUUAGGGGAGUGUUGGUGUGAAGGAGCGAGGCAGCUUUUCCUUGGUGACAUUCUGUCCCUGAAGAUCUGGCUAUGGGCUUCGUAUCUGUUGUUCCCCAACUGUGCCGAUCAGAUUGCUGUGAUCCUGUAUUCCCACUGAGCACACACAGAGCCCAAUGCAGUUUGAACCGCCCCCACGCGGCUCUCCAGGUGAGGGGGAGGAGUCUGCCAGUUCCUCUAGGAAGGUUAUCACUCCCCCUGUGUGGAUGUUCCCUGUAGUCUAGCUAUGGGAGAGAAAGGUACUCAAUAGCUGUUGGCUGUGGUGCUCAGUUGCUGAUUGACACGAAGCAUCAUCAUCACAGUUACUUUUUAUUUAGCACUUUCUGUAUGCCAGGCACUGUCCUAGGUUUUAUGAUAUCCAUUUUACAGGUGAUGUGACUAAUUCUUAGAAAUGUUAAGUGACGUGAUCAAGGUCACAUGGUUAGUAAGUGCCUGAGCCGGGAUACAAUUCCAUAUUCACCGGACUCUAAAGUUCAUACUUUUUCCACAUCACCUCCUUUUUAGACCUGCUUCUCUUUAAAGGCUUAUGGUUCCUAAUUUCUCUUAGUCAAAGGGACAGAUUCUCACAAUUUUGAAGCUUUUCAGACUUCUGGUGCAGUGACUCUGAAAUUUUAGUGCAGAUCAGAACCAGCGGGUGGCCUUGUGAAAACACUGAUUAAGCAGUUACGGGGUGGGGCUGGAGCCUUUGCAUUUCUCACAGGUUUCCAGGUGCUGCUGCUGGUAUGAGCCACGCUUUGAGAAGGGCCUAGCGGACUGAGGAAGCAAAGCACCCAUUGUUCCCAUCCCUUUGGCCCCAUGGCGUCUGGCAGGGCAACGCUGCUGUAGCGCUGUGGCUCACUUCUUGCUUCCUGGACAUUAUUCCACAGGAGAGCAGAAGGUGGGUUAUUUGCAUGUGUUUGAGUUCAGUGUCUCCUCUUAUCUGGGUGGCAUUUAGGCCGGUCCACUGCCCUAAACUCAUGAGGGUCACCUGCUAACAAGGGAGGAUGUUGAAAGCAUAUAAUAACAUAAGUAAAGGCCUGGAGACGGAAAGCAUGUUGAUUUAUGGGCAUUUCCCAGGAACAAGUAAUCCAGUGCAGAGAAUAAAAAAGCCCUGGCUCAUCCACCGGACUAGACGGCUCAUCUGAAAUUUGUGAGAUUUGAGAAGAUGGGAUUCACCAUUUGCCUUUCCCUGGAGUUCUUUCCUUAUUGUGCACGGUUCCAAAAAGGGUCAAGUUUGAAUUUCUGUCAUGGGACAUCAAGCAUGCUUGGGUGGACCACUAGGGUCUGUCUACAUGGAAACCUGAAAGGCAUUCUGGCAGAGAGAGUGAUGAUGUAUGGAGCAUCGGGACUAAGAGCACUGGGCUGUGGAGUUAGAUAGAGCUGGUUAUGAAUGCUGGCUCUGCCACUUAACAGCUGAGGGUCCAUGGGCAUAUUACUUAACCUGUCUGGGCCACAUUUUCUCCAGAAUCAAGGCUGAUACAAAAAAAUAUUUAGCCAACAGAUACGGCAUGGGCAUCAGCCAGUCAGAAUGGAUGGAGUCCAAAUCAGAAGCAACGCCAGCUGUAAACAAGCCAGAAUCCGUGUGGACGAUUGGCUUGCAUUUUCAAGUAUGAUGUGGGUCCCAUCUGUGCUUUAUCUCUGUGCAGGGGAAAUGGGUUUAACUAAGUAAGGAGGAGAUGGUGAGUGUGUGUGCACUUAGAGAACAGCAGGAAGCCUUCCUGGGAGUCAGGCCACACACACUCUGGCUAUUUGGGGGUCAAGAUGGGGAGACCUCUUUUGGAGGCUUUGUACCAUGGCCAAUUUGGCCUGUCCCACCUCCUUUCCACAAGCUAAUAGCCGAUGGAUGUAAAGCCAAGGAGGAGAAAGGGUUCUCUUGGUUGAUUCUUCUUAUUCUGCUAUCUUUGGGGAGAGGCAAGGCCAGAAGCCUAUAAUUGCCUGAAAUGUUCAAAGGCACAAAAGAUUGUGUAAAGGCCUUUCUACCCAGACACGGUGGGGAGGACCUGAACACUUCUUGCACUACCAUACAACCAUCGGCUACUCUGGCUUACCUUUUCUGGAAAAUAGGACAAUACUGGUACCUACCUCACUGGCUUGACUUGAGAAGGAAACAAGGUAAUAGGUAUGAAACAUCUGGCACAGAGUAGGAACUCGAUAAAAGGAGGCUCUGUGUUGGCCCAUUGAUCUCCUAGGCCAUGUGCCUAAUGUGGAAGGAGCAAUUUGAGGCUCAGGAGGACUCAGUCUCCUGUCUGAGGGCCAGUGGAGCAACAGGGUUUUACCUGUGUUGCUGUAUGGGCUUUGCUCGUUGAUUCCCCGGGCAGGUCCUUUUGGGAAACUUAUAUGAAGUUCUAAGACAGAGGAGCUGUUUAUUAUGCUGGGAGAGUAAGUAAAAUAAAAGUAUUGUUGAGUUCUAACAAGCGGCGUGGAAGAGGUCUUCCUGUUUGGGGCCUUAGGUGAGAAUUUCAAGGUUGGUGGCAGUAGAGUGACUUCGGUGCAAACAGCUGGGACAGCUGCAGAGGCCAGGGGAUGGCAGGCAAUGGGGUGAGCGAGCGAGUCAGUGUCUUUGAGGUUGAGGGAGGGUGACAGUGGGGCAGAUACCCACCCCAGUGUCCUCCCCGAGGUUAGAUGUAGCCUGCGACAGUUCUUGCGAGGGCACAUGGCAGCCAUGAGGGAGCAAGUAGGAGAAGGGGCUUCUUUGCUCCAGCUUUAGGGAAAACCACUGAUUCGGGCUGCUGCAGCCCACCGGAGAGCCUGGGGUGGGGCAGGGGUCCAGCUACAGGGCAGGUGGAGGCGCCGAGCCAGAGCCUUCCAUUGUCCUUGUGCGCUUCACGGUUGCCAUUGCCCGGGAAACAACCGCUGACACAUCUGCAUCUUUGGACUUACACCCUCUGUUGCUUCCCUCAGUUGCCUCAGACACUACAGGCCUUAACUUACUCUUGGAUUAUUUCACAAGUGCCCUGAGUGCUGGGGGACUGAGGUAGACAAGCCACAGUCCCUGCCCUCAAGGAUCCCACAGGCCAGUGGGCGAGGAAGGCAGAUAAUAACAACAGCAACACAACCAAAUAAGUGUCAUGACUGCGCCAUGUGUUAUGCUGCUGUGGCGGUGUCAGCGGGACCAGAGACAUAAUUUAUGGGACUCAGUACAGAAUAAAAAUGUCACUUCCUCCUCCCUGAAACCCCAUUGUCUCUUAAAUAACGUGAUUGCUCUUUGAAUUAUCAUUUCAUCUCUAACAUCCUUCCUCUGAAGUCUCUUUCCUCCACCUGCAUCUUUAUUUUUGGUGGCCACUCCUUCCCUCUACAGGUAACUGCACCCGCACUCAAGACUUUAAUCGCCCCUGUGCUUGGAUGAGCCCCAAAUCUCUCUCUCCAGCCAGAAACUCUUUCUUUAAUAUUUGGAUGCCCUCUGGAUAUUUCCUCUUCGGUUCCUGCCUGGAUUAUUGCACUGAUUUCCUCACUUGGGUCCAGCUCCAGGCUCACUGGCUUCCUGCUGCCCAGGUGUUUUUUCCUCAAUUACCAGUUAGAUCUUAUCCCUUGGAAGCUUCAACGACUCACCAAUACCCACAAGAUAACUGCCCCGUAGGAUUUAAAAGAAUCUUGAUGAUUGGGGUCUGCUUCCUUGCCAGUCUUAUUUCUUAUUAUUCGCUCACCUGCGUCUCAUCUUCUGGCCUAACUGAACUUGCCUUGAGUUCUCAAAUAUAGUGUGUGCUUCCACCUGUGCCUGCCUUUAGACGUGCUAUUAGCUUUUUCUGGAAUGUUCUUCCUCUUCUAUCUGUCAGUGACUUCUUCGUCUUUUCAAACAUGGCUGUAGAAGCACUUCCUCUGUGAAGUGGAACCUGACACCCAGGGCUGGCAUCAUGGGCCUGCCACCUGUGCAGUCACACCCAGCCUCAUGCUCAGAAUGUCCCUGCAUUUGGUUUAAUGCUGUUCGGUCCCCAUCUUAAAAUUCUUAAUAAUUUUUUUAACAACAAGCCCUGCAUUUUUAUUUUGCAUUGAGGCCCAUAAAUUAUGCAUCUGGUCUCGCUGACACCCCCACAGCAACAUGCACACAGCGCCGUCGUGACACUUACUAGGCUGCUGCUGUUUUUAGCUGUCUGCCUUACCGCUGGCCUGUGGACUCCUUGAGGGCAGGGACUGUCUCAUCAUCUCUGUUCCCGGGACCCAGGGCAGUGGAGGACACAUAGUAGGGGCUUGACAAAUGCUUGUUGACAGGAUUAAUUCAUGUCGAUGUCUCCUUUUCUCUUAGCCUGUGCAAACUGCCUUUCCCUUUUAAAACAUUCCCCAUGUGAAAAGCAGGCGCCGGAGACUGUGGGCUCCAGUUUUAAUUAAUUUUUUGUAAACGUGGCUUUGUGAUCUAACCCAACUCCACUUACCUCUCGGGGCCUCAGUUUCCUUAUCUGUAAAAUCUGUAAAAUGACUGAACAGUCCGACAUAAGAGGGGUUUCUGGGCUGUAACCCUCCGAACCCUUCCACGUUCAUCGCCUUCUCGAAGUUCUGGGUCUUUCCUUCAGGACACCUAAGAAUCUUCAUCCUUUAUCCUCAUUUUUUUCUGACCUUCUCUCUCACUUCACCUCUUUUGUUUUACACAGGAAAAGCAAGGCCAGACUCUUCACUCAGCAAAAGCAAUAUUUGUUGACAUUUGGAGGAAAAAAAAGCGAAGAGAAAAGUCAGAGAUCCUUCAAAAUCUUGGUGUUUGAAUAUUUAAAGACUCUGAAUGCUAGAAAUGUUGACAGGUCCUGUGUCAGGCUUCAUUCUGAUCCCUAGACCCAUUAUUUACUCUCUAAAAACAAAAGAAGCUCACUUCAAGGGGCCUCGUGCAGAACAAAUUUGCUGUUCAACUCGCCUGCCUGUCCCCUCCGGCUGCCCACAGCCACCCUACUGCUCUGCUGCACCGCUCUCAGAUCGCUCCUUACCCCGGCACCCCAGGGGCCAGGGGGGCGGGCAGAAGGAGCUGGAAGUGGAUCAGUGGGGAAGACCAGAUAGCGGGGGCUCUGGGACCCCUCUCCCUCUUCCACCACUUGUACUGCUUUUCUAUUUUGGGCUUCGGUGUAAGAUUUCACCAGAAAAAAGUGUCGUAAUGCUAAAAAAUGCAUGAAACCCUCUGUCUACUGACCCAGGGUUAGAUCUCAGUCUGAGCGUGGGGGCCUGGCUGGCUGCACUGACUCUGUGGCAGGACUCUUGUCAAUAAAAAAGAAUACAAAUUAAUAAUGCUUCCUGUUCUUACUCUCAGCCAAAUUGUUAUGCAGGAGUAGGGUUCCUGGACUGGCCUCCUCACCAUUUUCCCUUGGCCACAGGCUGGGUUUUGGCUGAAGGUCAAACUCUUUGGCAAAGGCUGGGACAGAGUGGUUGAUAACAUUGCCACAGCUGUUGAAUGGCUGUGGAGCUCACUUCUUCACCUGAGAGCCUGGGCAUUUGCUGGGAGACCGUGCACAGCAGACAGGGACCAGGGGAGCUCUGCUGGCUCUGAACACUCUUGCCCUCCUACCCUCAGACCCAAUAGCACCUUAAUUUUCCCCAGAGGCCCUUCUGGUCAGCCCAGCCUUGGAAGACUAUGGCACAGAGGAAGGCACGUGGUGUGGAGCAGAGGUAGUGUGGAAGUCUGGAGUCUGACAGACCUGGGUUUGAGUCCCGCCUCUGUCGCACAGCUAGCUUUCAAGCAACUAAAUGGACCUGGUGCUAUGUUAGAGCCUGUGGGGGAUAAAAAGCAAUUUGCAUUUUCACUGCAAGUUAAAAAAUUCCUAACUUGUUUGGGUAGCAAGAUAGUUCUCUUGCUCUCCUCAUCUCUAUCCCCGAAAUAAGCCACAGAGAAACCCAGAAACUGAGCAGGAGGAAGUGGGCACAGUAUCUUUCACCAUGCAGGAUGGUUGGGAGAGGACAAAGGCUUUUGGUAGAGUAAUUAAUUCAAAAUUACAUUAGAAGGAGAAAUAUGUGUCUCUUCAGUAGACUUGGUGAAGGGUUUCAGCAGGAAAUGAAUCCUUGCAGUUUGAGUUGUGUCUAGUAUAUUUAGGUAUUUGGGGAAAGAGCAAAUUGCAAACUGGAAUGGUAGACCCUAAAGUCCUUUCUCCCUGACAUGGACCCGCGGCCCCCAAACACAUGCCCAGCAGCAGAAACUGGGGGCCGAGUAGACCCAUCUCUGACUCACCACAGAGAGCGGAGGUUGAGCAACCCAGGAGGACCAGGGCUACAGCGUGCAUGGAGGGAGGGAGUGGGUUCUGUAAUGGGUGGGGGGAGAGUAAGGGAGGAGUGGGAACUUCAGGAAAGGGUUGAAAGAG